rnacentral:tRNA from 3 species
GAUGCCGUGGUGGAAUGGCAGACACGCUACUUUGAGGGGGUAGUGGGGCAACCCGUGUGAGUUCAAGUCUCAUCGGCAUCACCA